UACGUAGGGGGCAAGCGUUGUCCGGAAUCAUUGGGCGUAAAGCGCGUGUAGGCGGCCAGAAAAGUCCGCUGUGAAAACUCGAGGCUCAACUUCGAGCUGGCGGUGGAAACUUUCUGGCUAGAGUCCGGAAGAGGAGAAUGGAAUUCCUGGUGUAGCGGUGAAAUGCGCAGAUAUCAGGAAGAACACCCGUGGCGAAGGCGGUUCUCUGGGACGGUACUGACGCUGAGACGCGAAAGCGUGGGGAGCGAACAGG
rnacentral:rRNA from 1 species